rnacentral:tRNA from 1 species
GCGCCCGUACCUCAAUUGGAUAGAGGGACGGUCUACGGAACCGUUUGUUGAGCGUUCGAGUCGCUCCGGGCGCACCA